rnacentral:lncRNA from 1 species
AUGCUAUUCAUCUACUUACUAUUUCCUGUGUGCACAGCUUUUCCCAUUAGAUAUACACUUCUUGGAAUCUGGCCUCAGACACUUCUUAGCUGCGUGGCUCUGGACAAGACACUGUGCCCCCAUUGUUCAGCCCUUUCCGCUCUUCUGCAUUGGAACCAAUACCUAGUAUCAAGUCUAAGACAGAAGGCACACACAUUUCUGAAAGGCAAGAAUUGCUCUCUAAUUUGUGACUCUGUAUCCUCAGUUCCUAGCAUAGCACCUGUUAC